rnacentral:rRNA from 1 species
CGCGUAGGCGGGGAACUAAGUGAGAAGUGAAAGGCUCAGGCUCAACCUGAUGCAGUGCUUCUCAUACUGGUUCUCUUGAGGGCGGUAGAGAGAAGUGGAAUGGCUGGUGUAGCGGUGAAAUGCGUAGAUAUCAGUCGGAACACCGGUGGCGAAGGCGGCUUCUUGGGCCGUUUCUGACGCUGAGGCGCGAAAGCCAGGGGAGCGAACG